GAAAGUAAGCAAGGGCAGACGGUGGAUGCCUUGGCUCUCGGAGGCGAUGAAGGACGUGAUAAGCUGCGAUAAGCUUGGGGUAGGUGCAAAUAACCUUUGAUCCCAAGAUUUCCGAAUGGGGCAACCCGGCUGGUAGAAGGCCAGUCAUUCCGUAAGGAAGGCGAACGUGGGGAACUGAAACAUCUAAGUACCCAUAGGAGAAGAAAACAAAAGUGAUUCCGCAAGUAGUGGCGAGCGAACGCGGAACAGCCCAAACCGAUGAUGUUUAGGCAUUGUCGGGGUAGUAGGACCACGUUGUGGCAAGAGAUUAAUGAAGUAGAACGUUUUGGAACAAACGGCCGUAGACGGUGAAAGCCCGGUAUACGACUCUUUAACGAAGCCUAGUGGAAUCCUGAGUAGCGCGGAGCACGAGAAAUUCUGUGUGAAUCAGCGGGGCCCAUCCCGUAAGGCUAAAUACUCCCGAGAGACCGAUAGCGAACCAGUACUGUGAAGGAAAGGUGAAAAGCACCUCGAACAGAGGAGUGAAAUAGUCCCUGAAACCGUCUGCCUACAAGCGGUCGGAGCACAUUAAAGUGUGACGGCGUGCCUUUUGCAUAAUGAACCUACGAGUUACUUUCUCCGGCAAGGUUAAGGGCUUCAGGCCCGGAGCCGAAGCGAAAGCGAGUCUUAAUAGGGCGUGAUAGUCGGAGUGAGUAGACGCGAAACCAAGUGAUCUACCCUUGGUCAGGAUGAAGGUUGGGUAACACCAACUGGAGGUCCGAAUGGGUAUACGUUGAAAAGUGUUCCAAUGAACUGAGGGUAGGGGUGAAAGGCUAAUCAAACUUGGAGAUAGCUCGUACUCCCCGAAAUGCAUUUAGGUGCAGCCUUUAUUUAGUAUAGCAUGAGGUAGAGCGACUGAUUGGAUGCGAGGGCUUCACCGCCUAUCAAGUCCAGAUAAACUCCGAAUGCGUGCUAUAUAUUGAUAAGGAGUGAGGGCGCGGGUGCUAAGGUCCGCGUCCGAGAGGAGAAGAAUCCAGACCAUCAGCUAAGGUCCCCAAAUAACAGUUAAGUUGAACUAACGAAGUCGGACUGCAGAGACAGCUAGGAUGUUGGCUUGGAAGCAGCCAUUCAUUUAAAGAGUGCGUAACAGCUCACUAGUCGAGGAGUCCGGCGUGGAUAAUACUCGGGCAUAAACUGUUUACCGAAGCUAUGGAUGUAGAAAUACAUGGUAGGGGAGCAUUCCAACGGCGUCGAAGGUGAAGGAUGACCUUUGCUGGAGCUUUUGGAAACGCAAAUGUAGGUAUAAGUAACGAUAAAGGAGGUGAGAAACCUCCUCGCCGAAAGACUAAGGUUUCCUGAUCAACGUUAAUCGGAUCAGGGUAAGUCGGGACCUAAGGUUAAGCCGAACGGCGAUACCGAUGGAAGAAUGGUUUAAUAUUCCCAUACUACUUUAUGGAGCGAUGUGGAGACGGAGAAGUGAAAGUCCUGCCAUCUGACGGAAUAGGUGGUUGAAGAGUGUAGAUGUAGAUUCCUGUAGGCAAAUCCGCAGGGAGAGUCGACCUUGACAGUAUGCCGCGUGCUUGCACAAGGCAAAAUGGACGUAAUCAGGCUCCCAAGAAAAUCCGCUAAGCAUAUUCAUAAAGUACCCGUACCGUAAACGGACACACGUAGUUGGGUUGAAAAUACUGAGGCGCUCGAGUGAUUCACGGUUAAGGAACUAGGCAAAUUGACCCUGUAACUUCGGGAUAAAGGGUCCCUACUGAGAGGUAGGGCGCAGAGAAUAGGUCCAGGCAACUGUUUAACAAAAACACAUGGCUGUGCGAAAUAGAAAUAUGAAGUAUACAGCCUGACACCUGCCCGGUGCUGGAAGGUUAAGAGGAGAGCUCAUCGCAAGAGAAGGCUUGAAUUGAAGCCCCAGUAAACGGCGGCCGUAACUAUAACGGUCCUAAGGUAGCGAAAUUCCUUGUCGGGUAAGUUCCGACCUGCACGAAUGGUGUAAUGAUCUGGACACUGUCUCAACCGUGAGCUCGGUGAAAUUGUAGUAUCGGU
rnacentral:rRNA from 1 species